UACGUAGGGGGCAAGCGUUGUCCGGAUUUAUUGGGCGUAAAGAGCGUGUAGGCGGCCAGACAGGUCCGUUGUGAAAACUAGAGGCUUAACCUCUAGACGUCGAUGGAAACCGUUUGGCUAGAGUCCGGAAGAGGAGAAUGGAGUUCCUGGUGUAGCGGUGAAAUGCGCAGAUAUCAGGAAGAACACCCGUGGCUAAGGCGGUUCUCUAGUACGGUACUGACGCUGAGACGCGAAAGCGUGGGGAGCGAACAGG
rnacentral:rRNA from 1 species